AAAAUGACUCUCGGCAACGGAUAUCUCGGCUCUCGCAUCGAUGAAGAACGCAGCGAAAUGCGAUACUUGGUGUGAAUUGCAGGAUCCCGCGAACCAUCGAGUCUUUGAACGCAAGUUGCGCCCGAAGCCUUUUGGCCGAGGGCACGUCUGCCUGGGUGUCACGC
rnacentral:rRNA from 1 species